GAGGUGGGGGGGGCUGCGCCCGGCCAGAGCAAUUAGCCCAGCGCCGGGCCUGGAGCGACUGGGACUUGCAGUGUCCCGGCCUUGAUUGCAAUCACUGUGCGGGGGUGGGGGGAGGGGAAACAGAAAGGGAGCGGUAACUGGGCUGACGGAGGAUAACUGCCAUUAUUAAGCACCGCGGGCUGGCCAGGAGCAGUCACCGCCUCUUCCUUCCCGAGGGGGCAGCCGAGGCACACGGGAUACAAGCAUGUGUCCUGGAAUUGUGGAAGAGGCAGAGCUGGGAUACGAACCUGGGACAUGUGGCUCCUGGCCCGCACUGCGCCAGGAUGAGGAAAACGUGCAACACUUUCCUCCACCGUAAAAAUGGUUGGACUUAGGAAAACUAAUGACUAAUAUGUCCACCUCCUAGCAAAUGUUUGGAAUGAACAUGAGAAAUUGCUGCUACAAACAUUCUUGUACAGGUUUUAUGUGAACGGAAGUUGUUCUCUCUCUAGGAUAAAUAUCUAGGAGUAUGAUUGCUGAGUUAUAAGAUCAGUUUGGAGUGAAUUGACACCAUUACUGCGCUGCGUCUUCCAAUCCGGCUGUCGGAAACAAAGCUGCAGUGAACAGGCAUACACAAUGGACAGAUGUGUGGGGACGCAGCCGUCUUUCCCCUUCCUUUUGGCGGUGCUGUUCUGUCGGCCUGUGUUGCAUGUGUGAACUAGGAGGAAGGACUAGCAUUCUCGGCCAGAAAUCUCGCCAUCACAGGUAAUAAUAUAUAGUUGGCUCCUUUUUGGCUAAUUGAUUGACAGCAUCCAUGAAGGAAAGAGAAAAAUAGUAUAUGAGUCAGGGCUUUACAGUUUGCAGCAUAGUUUCAUUAACAUGAUUUUAUGUCAUCUUUUUAUUGUCAUGAACUAUACAGAACACAAAAUUUACCAUUUUAGCCAUUUUUAAGUGUACAGUUCAGUGGCAUCAGGCACAUUCACGUUGUCGCACAACCCAAACUGAACUCCGUACCCAUUAAACAAUAAUCUCCCAGUCCCGUGUCCCCAACGCCUGGCCAUCACCGUCCUAUUUGCCAUCUCUAUGAAUUUGACUAGUUGGGUACCUCACACAGUGGAAGCAUAGAAUAUUGGCCCUUUUGUGUCUAGUUUAUUUCACUUGGCAUCAUGUCUUCAUGGUUCGUCUAUGGCGUAGCAUUUGUCGAUUUUCCUUUCUUUUUAAGGAAUAAUAUUCCACUGUAUGGAUAUACCCCAUUUUCUUUAUCCAUUACAUCCAUUGAUGGACGCAUGGGCUGUUUCCACCUCUUGGCUAUUGUGAAUAAUGCAUAAUGCUGCCAUGGACACGGGUGUCCAAAUAUUUGUUCAAGUCCCUGCCUUUAAUUCUUUAGUGUAUCUACUCAGAAUUGGAAUUCUUGGCUAAUAGGAUAAUGUUAUGUCUAAUUUUUGAGGAACUGCUAUCCCGUCUCCACAAUUGCCGUACCAUUUUACGUCCCCACCACCAACACGCAAGAGUUCUGGUCUCUGCACAUCCUCACUGGUACU